rnacentral:rRNA from 1 species
ACUACGGGGGGCAGCAGUGGGGAAUAUUGGACAAUGGGCGAAAGCCUGAUCCAGCCAUGCCGCGUGUGUGAAGAAGGCCUUCGGGUUGUAAAGCACUUUCAGUGGGGAAGAAAGCCUUGGGGCUAAUACCCUCGAGGAAGGACAUCACCCACAGAAGAAGCACCGGCUAACUCCGUGCACAGCAGCCGCGGUAAUACGGAGGGUGCGAGCGUUAAUCGGAAUUACUGGGCGUAAAGCGCGCGUAGGCGGUCUGAUAAGCCGGUUGUGAAAGCCCCGGGCUCAACCUGGGAACGGCAUCCGGAACUGUCAGGCUAGAGUGCAGGAGAGGAAGGUAGAAUUCCCGGUGUAGCGGUGAAAUGCGUAGAGAUCGGGAGGAAUACCAGUGGCGAAGGCGGCCUUCUGGACUGACACUGACGCUGAGGUGCGAAAGCGUGGGUAGCAAACAGGAUUAGAUACCCUAGUAGUC